rnacentral:rRNA from 1 species
UACGUAGGGUGCGAGCGUUAAUCGGAAUUACUGGGCGUAAAGUGUGCGCAGGCGGCUGAGCAAGUCGAGUGUGAAAGCCCCGGGCUUAACUUGGGAAUUGCGCUCGAAACUACUUGGCUGGAGUGUGGCAGAGGAAGGUGGAAUUCCACGUGUAGCGGUGAAAUGCGUAGAGAUGUGGAGGAACACCAAUGGCGAAGGCAGCCUUCUGGGCCAACACUGACGCUCAGGCACGAAAGCGUGGGGAGCAAACAGG